rnacentral:lncRNA from 1 species
AUAGAUCUUCUUGAUUUAGUGUCUUUUUAAUCUUCCUUCAAAUUUUGGUCUCCCCUUUAUGAUAAUGACAAAUACAAGAGUUAGUGAUGGGAUAUUUUCCUGUUAUGUUUCUUGGAUUCCCCUCAGUGUAAGAAACUCCCGCUGAUUAUGUGCUUUCCUCAUAGUCAUGGGCUAUAACUCUUUGUUUUCUCCUCUUUUGAAAAAGACAAAAAUUGGCAGCUAAUCCAAGGAAACAUAUAAUGGCGCAUAAAAAAUAAUUCACAGAUGCACACAUCUUAGACUAGUAUAAUAGAUGCACUAGGAGUAAUAAUUUAGUAGUUAUCAGGGGUUAAUAGUCCCUGUUAUAGACCAAAAGAGUUGCAAGAGUAGCUAGGGUUUCUAAGGGCAAAGCUAAUAAAAAGGGACAAUAAGCUGAAGGUAGCAGCUAAGUGUUUUCAAACAAGACAUGAGGAACGGGGCUCAUUGGCUAGCCAUGUAGUAUUUCAAGGUAUUGAAUUUUUUAUGAGGAAAGGCAUUAUAGGACUUAUCCACAUUUCUUGGCCAAAUUCUUGUAGGAGGUUCGCACUAAUAUAGCCAAUGUGUUCUAAGAGGAUUCAACUUCCUUAUUGCAUGAGUAAAAUUUCUAAAACAAUAUAUUGAUGAUAUUGAUUCCUUCGUAUAUAAGGUAAAUUUAAGAAUGUUAAAUUUGUUGGUGAGUGAAGAACAUACAUUACUAUUUGACCUUGAUCUAGAUUUAAUUUUUUUAAAACUUAUUAUCUAGGUGAUAAAAAACAAUUAGAUGUGAAUAAAAUAAAGUUAUUAAGCAAAGAAAAUUUAUUUGUGAGCCAAUGACAUUUUCAAGUGCAUUCAAGAGUUUUAAGAUCUAAGAAAUUUAAAGAAAACCUUGGAGACCAAGUAAGACAAUUUUAUUAAUUGAGAGAGUAAGAGAGAUGAUGUCUUUGUAAUUGAGGAGAGAUAACUAUUUAUAACUUCCAACUUUGGGAAUUGACCAAUAAUAUUUUGACAAUAGCAGCCUAAAGUAUUGUGACCUAUGUAGGUGGACCACACAUCUCGUCUAUUGGAGAUAGAACUAGCUAGCAACCUUGUGCCUCUUAACCUGGUAUAGGCUCAUCCCCACUCUAAUUAUUCUAACAUAGUUUGUCCCCUGUAGCCUUAUUUUCCACGUCAUCUAGAAGGUACUUUGUUGAGCCUUACUACACUUGAGAUGGUGAUUUUGAUAUUAUUAAAAUGCUCCUUAGGACUAUACAUUCAAUUCAACCUUCUUGGCAACCUCCAUAUGCCCUUACUUCUAUUAUCCUGUAUAAAGAUAGUCCCUCUACUUUUUGAGAUUAAGGGAACUUAAGAAAGGAGAGAGUCCUAUUCUUUUAAAUUCUAUAGGUGAGAAACACAAAAUGAUGCUUUUUUUAAAGAAAAGUACUCUUGAUUCAUGUUGGCAUGUGUACCCUUUACGUACCUUUAGAAAUGAAUCUAACAGCCUUAAUCAUCAUUGAUUGAAUCCUUAAGCAUUUCCCCAACCAAUAUCGUCAAUCAUUUCUUCUUACACCAUCCCUCUUCUCAUAGUUUCUUUUUUUCUCCCAACUCUUGAACCUUGUUUCUCUUUCCAAGAAAAGUAUCAUUUCCUUCUUUUUGCCAUGUCUUAUGAGGUUUUUUCUUCUCUAACAGUUAUCACCUUUGAUGUUGAGGUCAUUUCAACCACCUCUAUUGGAUUUUUCAAAAUAAAGAUACCUCAUUUUUUAUCUCUAUGUUGAAAGGCCUUUUCAAUUUUUAACCAAUAUUCCCCAUAGGAGUUGAAAAUAUGUCUGACUCAAUAAUCCCUCAAAAGUUCAUUUUCCAAAAUGACUGCUACAUCCAGUUAAAUAGGGUUAAAUCUGCUACCCCAAAAACUCGCUGCGUAUCUUGAUAUGCUUUUAUGCUUGUUGAUAGUGACCUUACUAAUAUAAUUGUAGACUAUGAUAGUGACCUUCAAGAUGCAACCAUACCAAAAGAGUGGAACUACUAGCAUAAGUUUCUUGGUUCUAAUUACCUAGAAUUAUUCUUUACUCUAAUUUUUCCUAUUUUUCUAUCCCCUUUUUGCAGCUUCUUGUAGGCAUAUUUUUCAGUAAAAAUUCAAUUGUUGGUCCUGUUUCUUAGCCACAAGAGGCUUGAAGAGCAUGAUUGGAACUUUUAUAACUGAGAAAAUGGGUUGACCCUUGUCCGUCUAUAUUAUGUGAACAUAUAGCACCAUCAUUUUGCUUUGUUGUCCUUUUGUUGAUGCUGUCAUUUGACCUUGUAUUUGUUAGAGAUAAAAAUUAGUUUGGGAGAUUCCCAAUUGGAAUAACUUCCUCCUAACUUUUAUUAGGUAUGAAUUCCUUCUCUAGUUAGAUUAAGAUAAAAUAACACCUAAGUAUAGUGCUUUGGGGAAGAAAAAAGUUGCCAUUGGUAAAUUCUACCCUUUUAAGAAAAGGCAAAAAAGUGGAUAAAGGAUGUUGAUGCCAAUAGAGGAACUAUCACUGAUCAGUUGAUGUCUUCCCAUAAGUGAGUAUCACCUUCUCUUAGAGCUUCUACUAUUAUGGUGACCAAGUGAAGUAGCCUAGGCACAUUGUUAGGGAAUGUGUGGAUGACAAAGUAUAGAAUUAAAAUAGAGAUUUAUUGAUAUAUGUCCUUUUAGACACUAUGUUUCUUUCCUACCAAGAUGCCCCAGAUUCCCUGGUUCCGAGAGAAAAUAUUAAGGAAAAGAUUAUAUUAUUACCCUGUAUUAUAGAUUGGAACGAAUUUUCUAAGAAAUUUGCUGCUUUGCCACAAUCAUGAUCUUUUUGGUCAAACUAUUCAUCAUCCUUCUAAGGUAACCAUUAUUUUAACAAGUUGUUCUUCGUUUGUUAGCUUCCCCCUUCCUUUUCUAUUUUAUUUUCAUGUAAUACUAUCCCAAAUACAGAUAUACCUUUGUAUGUCUUUAUUGUUAUGACAUUCCUUUAGUGAUAGAAGAAUGACAAAGUAGAAAGGGAUUAACUUUAGAAAAACAUUGCUACCAUGGAGGAGAAGGUGUAGAUAUUAAAGGAGAAGUUAAUUUGUUAAAAGGAUAACAUAUCCAUCCCUCAUGCUCAGUUUGAUUUUAAAUAAGAGAAGCUCAAUAUUGUUAAAGUAGAUAAGAGUAAGGCCAUCACAAGGGUGAGUAGGUCAAUUGAGAAGUGGGAAAAUCUUGAACUAACUUUAAUAGAGUGUUCCUAGUACAACCAUUGCUAAGAUUGAAGCAAAUUUUUAUAAGAGCAAGCUGUAAAACCUCCAUUUAAUAAAAGGGGUCUUGUAUAUAAAAAGGAUAACGAACAAAGAUCUUUGUGAGACUUUGGUAGAAUGAAAGAAUAGGUGCUCCAUUAAGAGGGAAUAUUUUUUUUUGACCAUUUAGUGGUUUUCAGAAUAGCUCAGCCUAAUCUUAGUAAGGUAUAAAAAUAGAUUUAGACCACUCAUGAAGUGAUCCCAACUAUUUAUUUCCUUGCGUUGGAUCCUGCUAAAAUUACUUCUUCAGCAAUCAAUUUGUCUGAAGAGAGCGAUUGGGGAAAAUCCUAGAGUUUGUAUGUGCAGAUUUUUUGUAAAGUCUUUCACCUUUUCUUAUUGUCCUUUUUUCAAGUAUUUUUUACAACCCCUUCUAUUUUAUAUGAAACUUUUUUGUUUGAUUGAGGCUAUAGCAUGUUUGUCUUAUCCCUUUGUUGGUUAUGCAUUUGUUGUAGGGUUUCUUAUGUUGUGUUAGUUGUAUUUAGAAACUGUAACCUACUUUAGAGCAUAAAUAAAUUUUAAAUUGAUUGAGAGAUAUGGUGAUGAAUUAAUUUUUGUUUUAUGGUAAUCCUCUUUUAUGCUAUCUGCUUUGUUUAUGUGAGCAUUUUAAGUGAAGCGUUAUUAUAUAUGCAUAUCUGAGGCAUUGAUCAAGCCAGAUCCAUAUUUAAUUGCAUGCAAUUUUUAUCUUAACACUCUAUAAGUUAGGAAUCCUCAUAAUUAUGUCAAAGUGUAAGGUGUUGGAAUGAUUUCAAAUCUUAAACUAAGUUCAAUGGAGCUUUGUUUUGACAUGAAUUGCCAAAGUAUAGAAUAACAAGAACAUAUAUUAAUUAUCAUAAGGUUAAGAUAAAUUUAGUCACAUAUAUUAAUUAUCAUAAGGUUAAGAUAAAUUUAGUCCUUCUUAUAUCUAGUAUUACUAGAUGGGUGUGGGGAUUUUGUGGUAGCCAUAGGGCUAAUUUGGCAUUUCACAAGAUUACCCAACAGUUCUUAGUAUAUUAUUUAUGAGGCUUUGAUAUGGUAGUCCCUAGAGUUUUAACUUCUUUGGGGAUUUUGGCAUUUGUAAUUAAUCAAAUUUUAUCUUUGCAACACACUUAGUUCAUACCUCAUUAAAUACUUUGAAAAAAAUAUAUUACUUCAAGAUAAAAAAUUGUACAAAGGAAAAAAGAGUAUAGUGUGUGUUGUUGCAAAAUAGAAGGUUUGACACUUGCAAUCUUUGCAGUAGAAUCUUUUCAAAUUAUUAGAAUUUUACCGUAUCCACCCACACAAACAAGUUUAUGUUGUGAGCUGAAUAUAGAUUACACAGGGACUUAACCUUUAGUAGACAAUUCAAUUCAAGUAUUAGUAUCAAAGAUAAAAGAGUCUGAUUUGUAACCAAAUAGAGUUUAGGUUUUAUUAUGCUAAAAGUAAAAAUGAACAAUAACAAAUAUUAAAAGUGUUGGAAGCAAUAAUUUGGAGAGUUCCAGGGUCCAGGGCAUCUUUAACAAUCAUUCAAAACUAUACCAUCUCAUUGGUUAAGUUGUUUCUCAUGGUUGUUGACUCAUGGUGUUAAUAAUAGGAUUAUGGUAUUCCUAGCCUCUAAUUAUAUAAAAUAGUCUCAUAAUAACAUUGUUGAACGGAUAUGUGGGAAUUAAUUCAAACACAUUUUAUAUUUUAUCCUGUGUUUGAGCCAAAUAGGAAAAAUUAGGUAUAUUUCUUUCCUAACCACGAAUCUUAUAAGUAAUUUAUCUAAAAGGCAAGAACCCAUUCCUUAUGUUCCAUGUUCUAAUAUAAUUCUAAUAUUUUCAUGCUCACAAUAUAUAUAUAUAUAUAUAUAUAUUUUAUUCACAAUAGAAAUAUAGAUGUAUUCUAAAGGUCGCAAAUAAAUAGAAUAGUGAGUACAAAAAUAUAAGAACAGUCAAAUAUGAUAAUUAACAUUAACCAAAUUAAAAGAACUCUAAGAAAUCAUGUUCGUAGCAUCAACCUAGAAAUAGGGUGUUUAGCCACUCAUAGUCAUAUAAAUAAUAACCACUAAUGAAUUCAUAUGUAAAACUACAAGAAAACUAAAAGUUAAAGGAAGAAAAAUCCUAACAUACAACCCUUGACGCCUUCCCCUCUCUCCAAACGUAUGUUUUUCAAAAGAUCCCAUGUAAAUAUUUCUAAGUACUAUUUAUUUUAUCCUUUAUGUUUUCUAUAAGAUUCCAUAAAAUAAAAAUAAUCAUUGACCGUUUUGCACUUAACUUAAAUCAAGCAAAAGACCACUUUUUAGACAUUUUGGCAGAUUUCUAUCACAUGGCCAAUAACAUGGCUAGGUGGAUGGGACACAGGCCUAUAGCAUGGAAAACUCAGUUUACCCUCACCCAAUGUGGUGUGCCACAUGUAUCCCCAUUAUUCUAUGGGGGUGCAGCGCACGACUGCCUCCACAAGGUAAGGUUUCACCCAAUCUUCAUUCUAUUCUUCUUGUCUACUUAUUUAUGGGAUUCAUUUAUCUUACAUAUAUGCUCCAAUGGUCUCCUAAAACAACUAAUAAAAAAUAUUAGGCCACACAAACAAUAAAGCAUAUAAAAGUACACUACAACAUGCAUACUGUAGGCUAUCCUAACUAGUUUUCUCAUCUAAACUCUAUUUGAUUCAUUUGUCUCUUAAACUAUUUCAAAUGCACCUUAAAAACUCUAAAAAGACACUUAUCACAUAAAUAAACACUUUUUACUUCAUUAGCACAUCAAGUUAUCCUUCAAAACUAAGCUAAACGCGCGUAGACAAUGACGUCACUUAGGUGUACAAAAUAUGCCUAAGAUCACCACCUCACACUUAAAGCCUUGUUCAUCCUCAAACAACCCUUUACACCAAGCACAAACAAGGAAGAAUCUAACAUCACUACUUGAACUAAGACAUGAAAGCUAUAUCUAUAAUAUCUACAUGAAUAACAAGUUCUCCAUUAGGAAUGUUAUAUCAUAAUUGAAACCACCUGAAUAUUACUUUAAGACUUUCUAGCCUUAAGAAUUGACUCUAUGAAUUUAGAAAACUCAUGCAUAUUACUUAAUAAAGAGAUCAUAUAAAUCACAAAUCCAUCAUUAAAUAUGCACCCUCACCACAAGAGAAUCACCCACAUUCACUCAGAGAUAUGCAAUUUAACACAAGAAUGGAUGUAAGAAUCAAAUUUUGCUCACUCUCAUAAAGAAUUCAUAUGUAAUAUAAGAUGAACCAUAAGCCUACAUUUAGUGUAUUACUCCACUAAUAUUAGAAUAUCAAAGCUCAAGUCGAGUGGGAUGGUAAGGAUUGUAAUGUAGGCUAAGGGAUGGGUAGGAACUAUUCUUGUCAGUAAUAUUGGCUAUCUUCCCCACACACUUUAAUCAUUAAACUUUAUGUUUAAAUUAUCUCCAGCCAACCUAUUUAUCACCACUUUUAUCUUCCCAUCUCUCUUUUUUUUGCCCCACCUCUUUAAGUUAUCUUACAUAUCUUUGAUAUAGGGUAUUUGUGAUCAACACAUAAUUCCCUUCUUUUGAUCAAUUUUUCUUUUCAUUACAAUACUCCACACCAACAUCAGAUAAAUUUUUUGAACACUUUUAUGUCUAUUAUUUUGGGGCUUCAGUUUUACUUUUUCUUUCUUCUUCAGUUCUAACUCCUUACCAAUCUUAAUUUUUCAACUAAAAAACUUAUGAGUUUUAGAUCAAAUUAAGGUCAAUUGAAAGAAAAGGAAUAAGCUAUAUAUGAGGUUACCAAAGAAUAGACUAAAGGCUUAACAGGGUUAACUAAGGUCAUGCAGAAAGGGUAGAUAAAGAAAGUAUUGGUUAUUAAGGAAAUGCCUAUAUCAUCUCCUAAACUUGACAAUUUUUAUUAUUCUUUUCAAACACACAAGAAAUUUCUAGACAUCAAUAUACAAACAAGGAAUAUAACCAAAACCUCAACACACAUGGCACAUGUUUAAAUAAAGAUGGAUCUCUGUAAACUCCCAACCAAAACAUCAAAAUAAUACAAAUUAAAGCCUAAAUCAAACAAGUGUAAGAUAAAAAUUCCUAGGUGUUACAAAAUGGUCAUUUAAUUUUUUUUAAACAUGCCUUAUAAUUCAACACCACUUGCAACAAGUAAUCAUGUGUAGCCCUAGCUAGAUCAUCUAUAUUUAUUGCUAUGAAAAAAAUUUCAAAUUACACCUAAAAAUUAGAAAGGAUGCUGGGUUCAAAAGGCUCCCCCCUCUUAAAAAAGAACCAAAAAGAAACAUUGAGGGGUGGGUGAAGUGUGCUUCUACUAAUGGAUAAAACAACAAAAUAAAAAAUAGACAAAGAUAAAAUCUUUUUGUAAUUUUUAAAAUUUAGUCAAAAACUAGAAUAUAAAUAAAAAUAGAUAACCUCUAGCGUGCUUCACACUAAACAUAUCGAAAGAUUCCUACCUCACACUUAAAAUCAUACUUUUUCCCCAAAUUAUAUCUAAAAUUAAGAAUAAGGAUAAGAAAUACUUCCCAAGGCCUCUAGGCCUAAAUAGUAGGAUGUCACUUUCUAAGAUUUCCAUCAUGAGCUCCUAGAGAUCCCACACGUAUGCUUUCAUCAUGCUUCUUAGCUUGGAUUUUGGGUACUUAGACAUCCUAUAAUGUCCAAAACAAAAAAACAAAUCAAAUUUGACACUAUAUAUAAAAAUAACAAACUCUAUUAUAACAUAGGUUGCUUCCCAAGGAGCGCCUGAUUUAUUAUCGUGGCACAACUCACAUCACAUCUAUCAUCCAUAUUCUUGUAUAUUUUUUCUUUGCCAGGGCUCAUUUUCUCCUUCUUUAUUAACCUCUUGAGUGCUCACAAUCAAAGUCUAUAACUUUUUAUACACUCACCUUUUUAGGUUUCCCUUCAAGCUUUUCAAGGUCGGGCUUAUUUGUUAAUCUGAGAAACUCUAAGAGAGUGUCUGAAGAGGUAAUGAGAGGUUUACUCUCCUCUACCCCAUACUCAUCCACUUCCAUUGAGUUGGUCAUGCUUAGAUCUCUAUAGCGUGAGGGUGUGUUGAGUGCUUGUACACUCUGAAGACUAACUCUUCUUUAUUUAAUCUCAUCUUGAGUAUGCCCUCUUUAACAUCUAAUAAUGCUCCAUACGUAUAAAAAAUGAACAUCCUAAUAUAAUUUACACCUUAUAAUUUUUAUUAUAGUCAAGAACAAUAAAGUCAACUGGAAUAAAGAACUUACCAACCUGAAACACCCUAGGUUUGGCCUAUGAAAAUUUUUUGAGCUUUUAGCUCACUGUUCUUGUAAUGACAUAUUAUACGAGUCAUAUGAUGUAGGUAUGGAUAAGGUGACCCUAGUUGUAAGGAGUCCAGUGGGUGGUGGUUGAAGUUCUAUUGUGGUUAGGAUUUGGUGGUAUGGGUCUUUAUGUAUGGUGAUGGGUUGUUAGGAUUCUCCGUUAUCAAAUAAGAAACUCCGUGACUUGAAUUGGCUCUGAGUACGAGUGGACUCACUAAGAGCCGUGAGGAUAGGGUACGAGUAGUAUGUUUGAAUGGUAUGUUUUUCAGUGUCUAAUCUCUUUGGAUUUUUUCUUUAGUACGACUAGGCCAAACGAGUUGUAUGGUUUGGUAACAAGUGGGAUCAGGGUGUCGUAUGGUGGAUAGUGCGUGGGUGUAUAACUCUUUGUACUAGUGACAACUCAAUGGUACUAAUCGUAUGUUAUGGUCAUGAGUCACGGGAUCGAAUCGUAACCACAUGAGGUAUUUCUAUAGUUUUAAGCUGGGGCAUUCUGGACAUUUCACCUUUUUAACUCCCUUAGAUACCACAACUUAAAAUACCUUUUGGGAAUUUAUUAACCUAUUAUUCCUAAUAACACACUCUUAAAAUCUAUCUUAAAUUCUUUUUCAAGAAAAAGGCUAGGGUUUUAUCAAGAUAAUCAAUUAAGGAUUUUAAGGGUGGCUUAUCUCCAUCUUCCUUAGUUUCUAAGGCAUGUUACUCCUCCCUCAUUGUUAUUUUAUAAGAGCAUGUGUUUUAAUGUAUGGUUUUCAUUAUAUUUUUAUGGGUUUGAAACAAAAGCUAGGGGUUUUGAUGUUCAUGAUUGAAUAAUGUUUCUCAUAGUUUUAUUAUGUUUUCUUUCAUUAUUUUAGUAUGAUUUUGGAAUUGUGUGAGGCAUGUUAAGGGUAAAUGGAUUUUGGGAUAUUAUGGAUUCUACAAAUUACUUGGUUAUGGUUUUUAAACUUAUGCGCCCUCAACCUAUUUGUUAAAAUGCCAAUGAGAAUAAUUUUUGUCACCUAGUUUGACUAUUCUUGAAAUCUUUGCAUUGUAUAAAAGGUAAUGGAACCUGAAUAGGUAUGGAUGAUUUUAAAUGGUUUGGAAAGGCCUUGGUGGCCAUGGUCUUGAUUUAAUUAGAAAUGGUGGAGUCUAACUUUGGUUUAAUGGUUUUAUAUGGAAUGGUUAUCUAACUUUGGUUUAAUGGUUUUAUAUGGAAUGGUUGGAAUAGACUUUCACGCUUUAAUUUUGGUAUAACGAUACCAAUGGUUAAUGCCUAAUGAAAAUCACUCCUUGGUAAAUAGUUGUGAAUAUGUAAUUGGUUUUAAUAUGGGCUUAAAGGGGGCUGUGUAUCAAACCCGUAGAAGAUGGAGGUCUUAGGUGGGACCAAUACAUGAAGCUUAUGUUUGUCGAUGUGAGGAUUAGUCAUGGUGAUCGUGUGCAUGAUAUCACACUUUAUAUUUUGGUAGAUUUACUAGCCAUCUCAGGUUUUUCUCCUGUUUAUGCGGCUAACAUGCACCAGAGCCCUUUCAGCAGGAGAGAUGAACCAUAUAGCCUAUGGGUGGACAUUUAGAACGACAAAAAUACAAAAUUAAGGUUAAAGUUUCAAAUAGAUGCUAAACCUUAUUCCCUAUCCCAGCAUGAUAUAUAUGUAUAUAUGUGAUUAUAUUUGGUCAUUUGAUUUUACUUUGAAUGAUAGAAUUAUUUUAUCUUUAUUACUGAGCUAUAUAUUAGCGUUUCUUUACCAACCUUCUAUGGGCAUUGUAUCCCCAUGCGAUGCAGGAACCGACCAUACUACCAUUCUCUUGCUCAGUGACUUAGAUUUGGGGACAACAUUAAUUUAGAUUGAAGUGGUGAUAUUCCAUACUCUGGAAGACUCCAUUUCAUGCUAUGGACUUCUUUUCAUUAUGGUUAUUUCUUAGAUUUUGGUUUUAGCUAUGGUUGGGGAAAUGUCCCAAUCGGAUGUUCUUUGAUUCUGGUUAGAGGCUUUGUCGGACUACUAUAGGUAUGGGCAAUAUCAAUAUUGGUGUCAUCCUUGAUAUUGGUAUUGGCAUUAGGGUUGGCACUGGUUGGAUUAUGAUUAUAGACUUUAUUUAAUGUUAUUGAAUUAUUCUUGUUUUAUCUUAUUAUAUGUUUGGAAUUCAUACGACAUAGGGUGCAGGGCAGUUAGGAUUGGGUAUUAUGGGUAGUCUUUGGUGUUGGUUGGACUUGAGCUGCCCGAUACGACUAGGCAUUGAUUUGAGUCAUAUUAUAUUGGUAUCAAAGCCUUAGGUUCAUGGUCAAUUGGGUGUCCGACAAAGUCGUGUCAAGUAGUGUCUCUUUUAAGGAUGUGUCACAUGCCACACUCAUAAGGGAGAAGUUACAAGGUAUUUAGAAAUUUUUCUCUUUCUUGUGUUCUAUUUUCAAGUUUUAGAGUCUAAGGUCCUGAAAUCAUCUCUAAUUUUUGUUUGUUUGCUUUUUAGUUUAUACCUCCCCAAUGAUCUAAAACUUAUAAAAACUCCCCUAUCCCACUCGAGGAUAAUAUUUAUGGGACUUGUCCUAUAUAUGGGGUCCAGACUAGGUCUAGUGGUCCAGUCACUGAUUGCCCUCCUACAGUUCCACCGAUCCCCUUAAGUCUUUCUCUAGGUUUUUAGGCUAAUGUGAUGAAUGCUGAGUUUUAUCAGUAUAUUGAUAUGUUGCCGUAGGUGGUAGCUACUCCAUCUGAGCAUGGUUCUUCUAUUACUCUAUCUUCUGAGGCCACAAAAGUUGGAAAGUUUAUGGGUUUGAACCCUUUUGUAUUCAUCGGUGUUAGGUUGAGGAGUAUCCUCAAGGUUUUUUCAAUGAGAUGGAAAAGAUCUUCUAUGUUAUGCAUAUUACUAACAUAGAGGGUGUGGAAUUUUUUGCCUAUCAACUAAAGGAUAUAGCAUACCAAUGGUAUAAGGAAUGGGAAUAGACUAUGAGUGACGAUGUUGAGUUAGCACUGUGGGAUAAUUUAUCUAGUGCUUUUCUAGAUUGCUUUUUCCCUCAAGAGUUGAGGAAAGCAAAGGCAGAAGAGUUCGCUAACCUGAAGUAAGGCAAGAUGUCAAUCAAGGAGUAUGCCUUGAAAUUUCAUAAGUUAUCAUGUUUUGCUCUGGAGUUGGUUUCUAUAACGAGGACUAGAAUGAGAAAGUUUGCUUUUAAGUUAUUCUAAGACUUUAUUUUAGAGAGUAAGGCUUCUUUGUUCAACAAGGACAUGGACAUCUCCAGGUUGGUUGUGUACAUACGGUAGGUUGAGGAAGAGAAAAAAAAAUAAAAAGAAAUGGGGGAGAGGAAGAGCAAAAAGUUUAGAUUUCUUAAGUAGGGUGGUGGCCAAUAGUAGAGUGGCAGGGAUGGGGGGAAGUAUUUCAAAUAGAAGUGAGGCAAUUCUAGGUCUUAUUUGAUUUCUAGUAUGCUCUACACAAAGUCAUAUGGUGACAGGCGAUUUUAGAGUGGCUACAAUUAUAGGGCAUAGGGUGCCUAAUCCCAGGUUAGUGGGGCCCAGUAAGCUCCAUACAUUCCUCUCAGCAAAUUUUAUGGUCGAUUGCAUCGAGGUUACUGUGAUGAAGGAAAGGACAAGUGCUUAGACUAUCAUUAUCCAAGGUAUAUGAUUAGGAGCUUUCCUAUUGGUAAGGUUGCUUCUGGGGCACAUAAGGUUUUCGUUGCCUCUUCUUCAGCUCUAGCACCAAAGGGUGCGCCAUCUGGCUUUAACACAGGUUAGAAUUGACUUUAUGCUCUCACUAAUCGUCAAUAGUAUGAGGCAUCGCCUAAUGUCGUGACUGGUAUGUUGAAAUUCUUUUUCCAUGAUAUGUACUAUUUACUUGAUCUGAUAUCCACUCUCUCUUAUGUGACCCCAUUUUAGGCUAUGUAUUUUAGUUUUGGAUUUGAGUGUAUUUCGAACCCUUUUUCUAUUUCUACCUCGGUAGGUGACUCUGUAUGGCUAGAAGAGUCUAUAGGGGUUAUGUGGUAUCUGUGGGUGGUCGGGAGACCUUGGUAGAUCCAUUUGAAUUAGACAUGGUUGAUUUUGAUGUCAUAUUGGGGUUGGAUUGGUUGCACUUAUUCUGUACAUCUUUAUACUGUUAGACUCAUAAGUUCAUCUUUAAAUUCCCUAAUGAGCCAGCUAUUGAGUGGGAGGGUGGUUUCCCUAACUCCUAAGGGAAGAAUCAUAUCAUAUAUUAGGGCUCGGAGGUCAAUCUCCAAGGGAUUUCUCUAUCAUCUUGUCUGAGUUAAAGAUUCUAACUUGGUACUUUACUACAUUACGUCCCAACAGUGAAUGAAUUUCCUGAGGUCUUCCCAGAUGACCUUCCUGGUGUUUCUCCCGAUAGAGAGAUUGAUUUUAGGAUAAAUCUUGUUCUAGACACUCAUCUUGUUUCUAUUCUCCUAUCUAAAAUAGCUCCAUGUUAGUUAAAGGAGCUUAAGGAGAAACAAAAGGACCUUCUAGACAAGGGUUUCAUCCAUCUUAGUGUGUCUCUAUGGGAUGCACCAAUGUUGUUUCUGCGUAAAAAGGUUGGUUCCCUUCGUAUGUAUGUUGAUUACCAAUAUUUAAAUAAGGAAACGAUAAAUAAUAAGUACCCUCAUCCAAGGAUAAAUGAUUUGUUUGAUCAAAUUUAGGGUGCCGAGUUUUUCUCCAAGGUCUUCCUUCAAUCUGAGUAUCAUCAAUUAAAGAUUAUGGAGGAAGAUAUUCCUAAGACUGUCUUACUUACCCGGUAUGGGUACUUUGAGUUCCUGGUCAUGUUUUUUAGGUUAACUAAUGCCUUGACAGCAUUUAUGGACUUGAUAAAUAGAGUCUUUCAUUAGUUUUUGGGUUUGCUCAUCAUUGUAUUCAUAGAUGGUAUUCUGGUGUACUCUAAGAGCGAGGUGGAUCAUGUCGAUUAUCUCUGCAUUAUGUUACAGACCCUGAAAGAGCAAUAAUUAUAUGCUAAAUUUUUUAUAGGUGAAUUCUGGUUGAACGCUAUCACUUUUUUAUGUCAUGUCGUUUAUAGUAAAGGAAUCAUGGUAGAUUCGUAUAAAGUUGUAGUUAUUAAAAAGUGGCCUAGAUCCACGAUUCCAAUUGAUAUUUGAAGCUUCGUCGGUUUAGCUGGUUAUUUCAGAAGUUUUGGGGAAAGCUUCUCUUCAAUAGCUGUCCCCUGGACUAAGAUGACUCAGAAGAAGAUAAAGUUCUUAUGGUCUAAUGCUUGUGAGUGUGUUCUUUAGAAGUUGAAGGAUAAGCUAACUUCAGCUGUAGUUUUGACUUUGACCAAAGGCACAGAUGAAUUUAUGGUGUAUUGUGAUGCGUUUAGUGUGGGGCUUGGUUCCAUUUUGAUGCAGUAUGGCAAGGUGAUAACAUAUGCCUCCAGACAGUUGAAGGUGCAUGAGAAGAAUUAUUUGACUCAUGACUUGGAGCUAUUAGUUGUGGUGUUUGCAUUGAAAAUCUAGCAUCACUAUUUGUAUGAAGUGCAUGUGAAUAUCUUUACAGACCAUAAGAGCGUGCAAUAUAUGUUUACUUAGAAAGAGUUGAACCUCAGGCAAAAGAUAUGGCUUGAGCUGCUCAAGAAUUUUGAAAUGAGUCUUUGCUACUAUCCAGGUAAAGCUAACGUGGUUGUUGAUGCUCUUAGCAGGUUGUCCAUGGGGAGUCUAGCUCAUGUGGAUAUAGGAAAAUUAGAUUUGGUGAAAGAUAUUCACCAUUUGGCUAACCUUGAAGUUUGUCUAUUUGUCUCUGGGGAUGGUGUGUGUUUGUGCUGAAGGUGGCGUAAUCAUCUCUUGGUGCAGAGAUAUAGGAGAAACAAGUAUUAGAUCCUUUCUUGAUGAGGAUCAAGGGUGAUGUAGGUGGGCAAAAGGUAAUAGCCUUCAAUAUCAAUGGUGAUGGUACCUUAUAGUUGGUACUAAGGAAGGUUAUGUGUUCCUAAUAUAGAUGGUUUACAAGUGAGGAUCUUGGCUGAGGCGCAUAAGUUGCAUUAUGCCAUUUAUCCUAGUUCAACAAAAAUGUAUCAUGACCUUAAGAAGAUAUAUUGGUGGAAUAAUAUGAAGUGGGAUAUAGUUAGUUUUGUGGUUAAGUGCAUGGUCUGCCAACAAGUGAAAGUUUAGAACAUGAGGCCCGAAAGAUUAUAUCAAGAAAUUGAGUUGCCUAUGUGGAAGUGGAAGUGAUCAAUAUGGAUUUUCUUACUGGCCUUCCUUAGACUCAAAAUCAGUUUGAUUUAGUUUGGGUCAUCAUGGAUAGAAUGACAAAGCCUACUUAUUUCUUGCUAGUGAGGACCAAUUCUCAACUAAAUAUUAUACAAGGCUAUACCUCCAAGAAAUUGUGAAGUUUCAUGGGGUGCCUAUUUCUAUCAUCUCGGAUCACGGUACAUAGUUCUUAUUGGACUUUUGGCAGUCAUUUCAUAAAGGCUUGGGGACCAAGGUGAGUCUUAGUACUGCUUUCUACCCCCAAUUGAAUAGAUAAGUGGAAAGAUCUAUUCAGACAUUGAAAGAUAUGCUUCAAGCUUGCAUGAUUGACUAUGGUGGUAGAUGGGUUGAGAAUUUUCCUCUUAUAGAGUCUGCAUCUAAUAAUUGCUACCACUCUAGCUUUGGGAUUGCUCUGUUUGAGGCCUUAUAUGGUAGAAGGUGUAGGUCUCCUAUCGGGUUGUUGAGGUAGGUGAGACAGAGAUGUUUGGCCCAUAUUUGGUUCUCCAAGGUACAGAAAAGGUGAAGGCGAUUUGAGAUAGACUUAAAGCUACCCAAAGUUGCUAGAAGUCCUAUGCAAAUGUGAAGCAUAAGAGUUAGAGUUUGAGGUUAGGGAUAGGGUGUUCUUAAAGGUGGCUCCUAUGAAGGGAGUGAUGCAGUUUUGGAAGAAGGGGAAUCUCAAUCCCUAGUAUAUUGGUCUGUACUUGGUUUUUAGAAGGGUUGUAAUAUUGCGUAUGAAUAGGACCUGCCUUUUAGUUUAAGCUCCAUUCACUCGGUGUUCCAUGUGUCUAUGUUGAGAAAAUAUGUGGGUGAUUCUUUGCAAAUUAUGCCUAUCAAGGAUAUUGGUAUUUUAAAUUCUUUGUCUUAUGAGGAGAUCUAGAUUAAAAUCUUGGAGCAAAAGGUUUGUCAGUUGCGGAUGAAGGGAGUAGCUUCUAUCAGGGUUCUAUGAAGGAACCACAAGGUUGAAGAGUCUACUUGGGAAGCUGAAGAAAACAUGAAGUCCAAGUAUCCAUUCUUGUUUUCCCCUUCGGAAGAUCAUGUGUGAGGUAUUUGUUAUUCUAAACAUCUUUGUUUUCUAACUUAGAUAAAGGUCAGAGUAGAGAUAUUUGGGGUUUGAUCAUGCUAGUCAAUGCUUUAUUCCAUUAUUCGGGGAUGAAUGAUCCAAAUAGGGGAGAAUUGAAACACGUUAGGUUUGGCCUUUUAAAAUUUCCUGAGUUUUAAACUCAUUGUCCUUGUAAUGACUUAUCAUAUAAGUUAUAUGAUGUGGGUUCGAGUUAGGUGACCUUAGUUAUAAGGAGUCUAGUGGGUGGUGGUUGGAUUUCUGUUAUGGUUAUGGUUUGUUGGUAUGAGUUGUUAGGUACGGUGAUGGGUCAUUAGGACGAUCCUUUCUCAAAUAAAAAACAUAGUGACUUGACUUGUCUCUUAGUACAAGUUUCUUACUAAGAGCCAUGGGGAUAGGGUAUGAGUGGUAUAGUUGAAUCAUUUGUUCUCGAGUGUCUAAUCCUUUAGAUUAUGUCUUGGUACGACUAGGCCAUACAAGUCGUAAGGUUUGGUAACGAGUGGGAUUAGGGACUCGUAUGGUGGAUAGUGUGUGGGUGUCCAACUCAUUGUAUUGGUAAUGACUCAAUGGUAUGAGUCAUAUGUUGUGGUCAUGAGUUACGAGAUCGACUCCUAACCACCUGCGGUAUUUGUAUAGUUUUAAGUUAGGGGCAUUAUGGACAUUUCUACUUUUUUACUCCUUUUGACACCAUGAAUUACAACACCUUUUGGGACUUCAUUAACCUAUUAUUCCCAAUCAAACACUCUUAAAAUCUCUCUUAAACUCUCUUUCAAGCAAAAGGCUAGGGUUUCAUCAAGAUAAUAAAUUAAGGCUUUCAAGGGUGGUUUCUCUCCGUUUUCUUUGGUGUCUAAAUAAUGUUACACCUCCCUCAUUGUUUUUUUUACAAGAGUAUGUGUUUUAAUCUAUGGUUUUCAUUAUAUUGUUAUUGUUUUGAAAAAAAGGUUGGGUAUUUUGGAUAUUCAUUGUUGAAUAAUGUUUCUCAUGGUUUAAUUAUGUUUUCUUUCAUACUUUUAGUAUGAUUUUGACAUUGUGGGAUGCAUGUUAAUGGUAAAUAGAUUUCAGGAUAUUAUGGAAUCCCCAAAUUUCUUGGUUAUGGUUUUGAAACUUAUGUACCCUCAAUCUGAUUGUUAAAAUGCCAAUGAGAAUGAUUUUUUGCACCUAGUUUGACUCUAUGAAAUCUUUGCAUUGAAUAAAAGGAAAUAUAACCUGAAUCGGCAUGGUUGAAUUUAAAUUAUUUGGAAACUCCCUGGUGUCCAUGGUCUUGAUUUAAUUGGAAACAUUGGAGUCUAACUUUGGUUUAAUGGUUUUAUAUGUCAUGGUUGGAAUAGACUUGCAAGCUUUAAUUUUGGUACGGUGAUACCAAUGAUUAAUGCCUAAUUAAAAAGACUCCUUAGUAAAUGGUUGUGCAUGUGUAAUUGAUUUUAAAAUGGGCUUAAAGGGUGUUGUAAAGCAAAGUCAUGGAAGGGGGAGGUCCCGGGUUGGCCAAUAUUGGAAACUCAUGUUUGUCGAUGUGAGGCUUUGUCAUGAUGACCGUGUGCAUGAUUUCAUACUUUAUAUUUCAGGAGAUGCUCUAUUCAUCUCAGGUUUUUCUCUGGUUCAUAUGGCUAACACGCACUAAGACUUUUUUAGUAGGGGGAGCUGAACCCAUAUAGACCGUGGGUGGACAUUUAGGAAGAUAGAGCUACACAGUCUAGCUUAUGGUUUUAAAUGCAUGCUAAACCUUGUUCCCUAUACCAGCAUAAUAUAUAUGUAUACAUGUGAUUUUAUAUGGUCAUUUGAUUUGGUUUUGAAUGAUGGAAUUAUUUUAUCUUUAUCACAGAGUUACAUGCUAGCGUUCAGUCUGCUAACCAUCUUCAAUCAUUGUAUCCCUAUGCGAUGCAGGAGCCAGCCAUACUACCAUUCCUCUUACUUAGUGACUUGGAUUCGAGGACAACUUUGAGUUAGAUUGAAGUCGUGAGCUUCCAUAAUCCAAAAGAUUCCAUUUCAUGCAAUGGACUUCUUUUUAUUACUAUUAUUUCUUGGAUUUUGGUUUUGGGUAUAGUCCAGGCCAUGUCUUUAUCAGAUGUUCUUUGAUUCUUGUUAGAGGCUUUGUCAGACUACUAUGGGUAUGGGUGGAGUCUGUAUUGGUGUUAGCCUUGAUGUUGGUAUUGGCAUUAGGAUUUGCACCGGUUGGAUUAUGAUUAUAGACUUUAUUUAGC